rnacentral:lncRNA from 1 species
GUGGAGCAGCCACCAACCUCACCCACUCAAGGAAGUAGGGAUGGCCAGGUUCCCACAGCCUGCAUGGCUGCAUCCUGAUGGCUGAUGGAGCAGAGGCCUGAGGAAAAGCAGAUGGCAUUGGGGCUCUACCUCUUGGGUAGAAGAAGUGAUGUACACCGACCAGCUGUGAGUGAGGUUGGUGGCUGGUCCACCUGCUCCUGGCACACCCUUGCAGAGGUGGCUGGUUUCUCUUUGCGCCAGCUUGGCCUUGCCCAGCAUGCACAAGCCUCAGUACAACAGCUGUGCUACAAAUGGAACCACACAGAGAAAACAGAGCAGCAGGCUCAGGAGCAGGGUGUGUGCUGCAUUUGGGGCUCCAGUCAAUGCCUCCGGGCUAGUAUGGCUCUGUGGGCUUCUUGGUUGCAAAGAGGCAGACCACAGGCCAUCUUGAGGAGGACUUUAUGUUCAAGUGCAGAAAGCAGCCAGGAUUACCACCCAGGGGACUCUGCCUUCUGUGGCCCUGACCGGACUUAGAAUUUGGCCUAACUCAGGACAAGCACACUCAGAGCAGCGUGUCAGUAGCUGGAGCCUGUGCAUGAAAGGCAUGGCCAAGCUGUCUCAAAGAGCAACCAGCCACCUCUGCAAGGGUGCUCCAGGAGCAGGUGGAGCAGCCACCAACAUCACCCACUCAAGGAAGCAGGGAUGGCCAGAUUCCAACAACCUGAGUGGCUGCCUCCUGAUGGCUGAUGGAGCAGAGGCCUGAGGAAAAGCAG